GGGAGUAAAAGUCGUAACAAGGUUUCCGUAGGUGAACCUGCGGAAGGAUCAUUAAAGAAUAAGGGUCUCCGGGCCCGAUCUCCAACCCUUUGUUUAAUUACCAUGUUGCUUUGGCGGGCCCGUCUCACGACCGCCGGAAGUUUGGUCUCAACCAGACUUCUGGCCCGUGCCCGUCAGUGGCCCCUUCAAAUUCUUGAUUAAGUAUGAUGUCUUAGUUAUAAACUUAAUAGUUAAAACUUUCAACAACGGAUCUCUUGGUUCUG
rnacentral:misc_RNA from 1 species